CUCCCACAAACCCAGAGGUGACAAGCACAUCUUCUUGUAUGGCUGAAGAGGGAAAAGCUGUGAAUUAGGAAGUUGCUGCCUCCCCAGGGUGUACAUGAGGCACUCCUUGGGGUGCUGGUCUGUAAAGCCUGUGCAUAGGGCAGCCCUGAACCUUGGAACAGGAAGGAGACGGGAAGGGGUGGGGCAAUGAGGAUGGGAAUACUCCCCCMCACACACACAUGCACACCACCACCUCCUUUUUGGAUCAGCUCUCGAGGGACCCCAUGUACCAGCCACAGGAGAGAGAACAAGCUCUGUUCAUUUUGUUUAAGUCUGAUUUAGGCUUUGCUCCAAAAACCUCCACAAUGAUAAUGAUAACAACAACAACACUAUUACCACAACUACUACUAUGAAAAAUAAUAAUAAUAGUAGUAAUAGUACUAAUUUUUAACCUUCUAAGACCUGGAGCAGUAAGGCCAGCAGGCUCUCUCCUAGCCCCCUUCAACCCAUGGAAGKGCUGCACCUCACAUGCUGUAGAAGGGGAUUCCUAGAGAUGUGGGGACACCCAAGACUGACACAGCCUUUUCCUGUGGAAAAGGCUCUCCUUCCUUGACUCCUGUGUCUCCUCUCUCCAUCCCCAGCACCUUGCCUGCGUUGGCUGCACCCGGCUCCUGUACAGUGCCUGUCCCCAAACCCCUCUCUGGACACCCCAAGGCUGAAGCUCUCAGACAUAUGAAGGAACACCACGCCUGAGCCCUGCAGUCCCCARCUGUUCCUGCCAAUCCCUCCAGGCAGUGUGAAAUCUCUCCUUCUGUCUGAAUGAAGGAAUUCAUAAGCCAGGGAAGCCCCUUUCCUGUCAUACCAUCUCAGCCUCAGAGCGAUCACAGACCACUUCAAAAAGCAUUCUUGUAUUUUUCUCAUUUCCCCUUAAAACAAACACACCCCUUCCCAGUCACUACUAGCCUUGGUUUCUUCAUAGCCAGUUAGAUCUGCAUUUGCCCGGGCCUUCACCUUUAUCUGUAGAAAAU
rnacentral:lncRNA from 1 species